rnacentral:rRNA from 1 species
UAGAAGGAGCUUGCUCCUUUGAGACCGGCGCACGGGUGCGUAACGCGUAUGCAAUCUACCUUGUACAGGGGGAUAGCCCAGAGAAAUUUGGAUUAAUACCCCAUAGUAUUAUUAAAUGGCAUCAUUUAAUUAUUAAAGUUCCAACGGUACAAGAUGAGCAUGCUCCCAUUAGCUAGUUGGUGUGGUAACGGCACACCAAGGCAACGAUGGGUAGGGGUCCUGAGAGGGAGAUCCCCCACACUGGUACUGAGACACGGACCAGACUCCUACGGGAGGCAGCAGUGAGGAAUAUUGGUCAAUGGACGCAAGUCUGAACCAGCCAUGCCGCGUGCAGGAUGACGGUCCUAUGGAUUGUAAACUGCUUUUGUACAGGAAGAAACACUCCCUUGCGAGGGAACUUGACGGUACUGUAAGAAUAAGGAUCGGCUAACUCCGUGCCAGCAGCCGCGGUAAUACGGAGGAUCCAAGCGUUAUCCGGAAUCAUUGGGUUUAAAGGGUCCGUAGGCGGUUUUAUAAGUCAGUGGUGAAAUCUGGUCGCUCAACGAUCAAACGGCCAUUGAUACUGUAAGACUUGAAUUACUUGGAAGUAACUAGAAUAUGUAGUGUAGCGGUGAAAUGCUUAGAGAUUACAUGGAAUACCAAUUGCGAAGGCAGGUUACUACGAGUACAUUGACGCUGAUGGACGAAAGCGUGGGGAGCGAACAGGAUUAGAUACCCUGGUAGUCCACGCCGUAAACGAUGGAUACUAGCUGUUUGGAGCAAUCUGAGUGGCUAAGCGAAAGUGAUAAGUAUCCCACCUGGGGAGUACGCUCGCAAGAGUGAAACUCAAAGGAAUUGACGGGGGCCCGCACAAGCGGAGGAGCAUGUGGUUUAAUUCGAUGAUACGCGAGGAACCUUACCAAGGCUUAAAUGGGAAACGACAGAUUUGGAAACAGAUCUUUCUUCGGACGUUUUUCAAGGUGCUGCAUGGUUGUCGUCAGCUCGUGCCGUGAGGUGUCAGGUUAAGUCCUAUAACGAGCGCAACCCCUGUUGCUAGUUGCCAGCGAGUCAAGUCGGGAACUCUAGCAAGACUGCCGGUGCAAACCGUGAGGAAGGUGGGGAUGACGUCAAAUCAUCACGGCCCUUACGCCUUGGGCUACACACGUGCUACAAUGGACGGUACAGAGAGCAGCCACUACGCAAGUAGGCGCGAAUCUACAAAACCGUUCUCAGUUCGGAUCGGAGUCUGCAACUCGACUCCGUGAAGCUGGAUUCGCUAGUAAUCGCAGAUCAGCCAUGCUGCGGUGAAUACGUUCCCGGGCCUUGUACACACCGCCCGUCAAGCCAUGGAAGC